rnacentral:lncRNA from 15 species
CGGGACCGGGUUCUUCUCUGGGCUCUUCAGGGGCCCCGCGCACCUCACAGACAGGAACUAAACAGAAACCCGGUCCCCUCUGGAGCCACAGCCCAUCUCAGGCUCACAGAGAAACCCAAAACCUCCACAACAUAAAGCUCCAGAAGCAGGUCCCCGGAUCCAGGUCCCCUCUGAAACCAGGACUGUCAGGAACCGGGACUGUCAGGAACCGGGACUACGGGAACCAGGACUGUCAGGAACCGGGACUGUCAGGAACCGGGACUACAGGAACCGGACUGUGCAGCUGCAGAAGUUCUAGAGAUAAUAAAACCGGAUCAUCUGCUCCUGCUGUCUAUCACACAGUCCAAACUUUGAGAGGAGGACCUGGAGGGGGGGGGCAGGAGGCGCCUCUGUCCGGAUUGGCUGACCCCGCAGUGACGUAGGGCCGGGACCGCCUCUUGAUUGGCUCAGAGGGUCGGCUCUGAUUCGCUGGAAGAAGAAAGAAUUCAUAUUUCAUGGAGUUCAGUGGAAGAAGAAAAAGAGAUUCAAUUAUUCCAGCAGCUGUUUACAGGAUAUUGAUUGAUUAUUGAUUGAUUAUUAAAGGAUUCAUUUACAUCUUUAACGAGGUUUCAAAUGAACAAACUGCAAUAUUUUAAAUUCUAAAGAAAAGUUCAGUUUAUUCUUCAACCUGAAAACAAAUAAUCAGCAAAUAAAUUGUAACUUUUAAUAAUUUUUACUCAACAAAAGUCUUAAAAAACAUUUAAAUCUUUAAUUAAAAUGUCAGUAAAAUGUUUGUUGGUAAUAUUUACUGAUGUAGAAUCAAUAGAAAUAAUCAGCUGAUUAAUUAAUUAAAGCUCCUGUAAGGAACCCGUAAUCUGUGUUGAUUCUGGCGCCCCCUGUGGACAGAACGUGUUUCUACAACUCGUUUCAUUGAUUUCAACGGGAAUCCGACCUGGUGGCACAUUAAUUAAUAAUCACUAUAUAAUAAUAUAAUAUCAUAUAAUAUAUGAUAAUAUAUAAUAUAUAAUAUAAUAUUUCUGCUCUCUGGUGUUUACGAGGCUUCAGUAUUAUUUCAUGAUAAAAACUCUUUGUAGUAAAAUAAUAACAUAAAUGAAUGUAAUGAUCUGUUAUGGUCACAUGUUACAGAAAGAUAUUGAUCUCUAAAGCUGCCGAGGGCGUAACCACACAUUCUUUAUUUAAUAUAUUUAAUACAUUAAAUAUAUUUAAUAUAUUUAAUAUGUCCUUUUUGGUUUUUUAUUUUCAGUUUAUUUCUGCUUGUUGAAGAAAGAUUUUGUGUUUCCAACUUCACUGUAAAAUAAAUGUAAUUAUUGUAGUUUCCAGAACUUAAAUAGAUUUAAAUGAUAUCAGUUCUGUUGAUUUUACAGUUAAUAUUUUACUGAAUAAAUAAAGUUUUAGUUUAGAUAUAACAGUGUUUCACUGUUACAGAAACUUUAACCUGUUUACAGUCUCUUACUGUUUUCACCAUAAACACAGUUUUUACAGUGUUUGUGAUUUAUUUAUUUUAUAUUUUAUAUUUUAUAGUUUAUAGUUUAUAUUUUAUAUUUUAUAUUUUAUAUUUUAUAUUUUAUAUUUUAAAUUUUAUAUUUUAUUAACAUGUGACAGAUUGUUUAUUUUGAUGGUAAAAACUAUUAAUAAUAAAAUACAGAAUUUUACUGAUAAAUGUGAUCAGAAUAUUUCUGCCUGUGUGACAGAAGUCAGAAGUUCAGAUCGGAGAACAUGAUC